GGACUUACACCAUCAGCUCUACUGGUUCUCAGGCCUUUGGACUCGAACUGGAACUACACCAUUGGCUCUCCUGGGUCUCCAGCUUGGCAACUGCAGGUCUUGGGACUUGUCAGCCUCCACAAUGAUGUAGUCCUGGAUUCCAGCUUUGUGUCCUCCUUGGCAAGCUCCCCUGUCCUGAAACUGCAGAGGGGCCACAUGACCUCCACAGUCUGAACUGCUAUUCCCUGUCCCUCUGUGGUCCUUUGCCAGGAGAAGCCCCCACCACGAGGUCAGGGGAGACCCUGAGCAGAGGAGUCUCCCCCCACCAGGCCAAGCAAGGAAAGAGCUCAGCUGGAAGGGGCUGGAUUCAUUCUCGCCUCUCUCCAGCCACUCCUGCAGCUCCUGGCUUCCUCGCAAGCCUCUCCAUCAGCGCCCUCACAGGGCUUGGACACUUCACAGCUGCUGGGAGAAAGAAUGGAAUGGACCCAAGGACAUCCAGGCAGGCCCAGGCCCUACCUGCUGGCGACUCGGGUGUGUUUCGGCAGAUGAGACCACAGGCGCUGGCCAUGCUGUACUUCCACCUGUGCCCUGGCUGCACCAUGUGGCAUGAUGAGGCUGCGGAGGGCGUUUUCCGGCAGCUGGGUGUGAGGCCCCGAUGCUGGAAUUCUACAGCCAUGAUGACCCCUCAACAAUGCUGCCUGGCUGCAGGAGUUGCUGAGUGGCUUGCAGUAGGUGAAGCCUGGGAGACCUCCUGACAUGGGGCCCACCUGCACCAGCACACCCCCACCCCACCCCCAGUACCUCAACACCCUCAAACCUUCCUGGGGAGGCAGGGCCUGGUGCCAUACCCCCCAGCCCAACUCUGAUGGGGCUCCAGCCACCCAAUGGACAGGGCAUACAGACAGGAUAGUGGAGGCGUUGAGACCUGCUUGAUUUAUUCCAAGUAUUUAAUACACAAUGACGCAACUGUGAUCCCAA